rnacentral:rRNA from 1 species
UACUAGCGGUCCAAGUUGCAGCCACUAUUAUUGGGUCUAAAACAUCCGUAGCUUGCUUGACAAGUCUAUUGUGAAAUCCUGUAUCUCAAAUAUAGGACUUGCAAGAGAUACUGUUAGGCUAGAGACCGGGAGGCGUAAGGAGUACGUUUGAAGUAGCGGUAAAAUGUGUUGAUCUCAGACGGACUAACAAGAGCGAAGGCACCUUACGAGAACGGUUCUGACAGUGAGGGAUGAAGGCCAGGGUCGCGAA